UACGUAGGGUGCAAGCGUUGUCCGGAAUUAUUGGGCGUAAAGAGCUCGUAGGCGGUCUGUCGCGUCGGCUGUGAAAACUCGGGGCUCAACUCCGAGCUUGCAGUCGAUACGGGCAGGCUAGAGUUCGGCAGGGGAGACUGGAAUUCCUGGUGUAGCGGUGAAAUGCGCAGAUAUCGGGAGGAACACCGGUGGCGAAGGCGGUUCUCUGGCCUGUACUGACGCUGAGGAGCGAAAGCGUGGGAGCGAACAGGAUUGAG
rnacentral:rRNA from 1 species